rnacentral:tRNA from 2 species
GGGCCUAUAGCUCAGCUGGUUAGAGCACUUGACUCAUAAUCAAGGGGUCCCUGGUUCGAGCCCAGGUGGGCCCACCC